rnacentral:rRNA from 1 species
AUGAACGCUGGCGGCAGGCUUAACACAUGCAAGUCGAGCGGUAACAUUUCUAGCUUGCUAGAAGAUGACGAGCGGCGGACGGGUGAGUAACGCGUAGGAAUCUGCCUAGUAGUGGGGGACAACAUGUGGAAACGCAUGCUAAUACCGCAUACGCCCUACGGGGGAAAGGAGGGGAUCUUCGGACCUUUCGCUAUUAGAUGAGCCUGCGUGAGAUUAGCUAGUUGGUGGGGUAAAGGCCUACCAAGGCGACGAUCUCUAGCUGGUCUGAGAGGAUGAUCAGCCACACUGGGACUGAGACACGGCCCAGACUCCUACGGGAGGCAGCAGUGGGGAAUAUUGGACAAUGGGCGCAAGCCUGAUCCAGCCAUGCCGCGUGUGUGAAGAAGGCCUUAGGGUUGUAAAGCACUUUCAGGAGUGAGGAAGGGCGUAUAGUUAAUACCUGUAUGUUUUGACGUUAACUCCAGAAGAAGCACCGGCUAACUCUGUGCCAGCAGCCGCGGUAAUACAGAGGGUGCGAGCGUUAAUCGGAAUUACUGCGCGUAAAGCGCGCGUANGCGGUUUGUUAAGUCGGAUGUGAAAUCC